rnacentral:misc_RNA from 1 species
AGCAGCCGCGGUAAUUCCAGCUCCAAUAGCGUAUAUUAAAGUUGUUGCAGUUAAAAGCUCGUAGUUGAAUUUCGGGGUUAGUAGAUUGGUCGUGCCACUGGUAUGUACUGGUCUUACUGAUUCCUCCUUCCUGAUGAACCGUAAUGCCAUUAAUUUGGUGUUGCGGGGAGACUGGACUGUUACUUUGAAAAAUUAGAGUGUUUAAAGCAGGCUAACGCUUGAAUACAUUAGCAUGGAAUAAUGAAAUAGGACGUUCGAUCCUAUUUUGUUGGUUUCUAGGAUUGACGUAAUGAUUAAUAGGGAUAGUUGGGGGCAUUAGUAUUCAAUUGUCAGAGGUGAGAUUCUUGGAUUUAUUGAAGACUAACUACUGCGAAAGCAUUUGCCAAGGAUGUUUUCAUUAAUCAAGAACGAAAGUUAGGGAUCGAAGACGAUCAGAUACCGUCGUAGUCUUAACCAUAAACUAUGCCGACUAGAGAUCGGAUGAUGUUAAUUUUUAAUGACUCAU